UCCCCUCAGAGUUUGGGACUCCCACGGGUCAGGUCCGCAGAACGUCCCUCGGCCUCCCCGUCCCACUCCGGCCAUCUCGGAGAGGAAUCCGCCUCCGAGCCCCGGGAGCACUCUUCCUCUGAGCGCCUUCUGGUCCCCCCAAAUCUGCCCCUCGCCUCCCCAUUCCCCCCUCGAUGCCGCGUUCGCUGCGCCGAUCCCAACUCACCGAUCGGAACCCGAGGUCCAGUCCCGAACCCGCAAGUCUUCCUUCCGAUUACAAGCCCUCCCGAAUAGUCCCCCAAAUCCGCCCUGGGCACGAGUGCGAGUCAAGGUCCGGGAAUCCAGAAUCCGGGAAGAGUGGGAGGAGGAGGCCGAGGGUGAGCCGGCUGCCCAGUGACUGUGGCCUGUUUGGGAAGCGCUGGAAGUUUUUAUCCGCCCCCUCCCUCCUGGCUGGGGUGGAGUCUGGGCGGAUUCCCGGCCCCCGGGAGCAGAAACGCCCAGGGCUGCCCCGCCGACUCAGCAGCCCGAGAGGGAGCGGGCAGGCUGGUGACGCAACCUUCACCUGGCACCCCGGGUCGAGGGCGGGGGGCGGGGGUCACUCCCCGCAUCCAGCCCCGGCUCCCCCUGCCCACUCAGACGCGCGUCGCUACGCGGAGGCUCGAGCCUUCCUCCCCAGGGUCCGCCACCGGCCCCGGCCUUCCCCGGCCGCCCUCUGCCCUUCUGCCCUUUUCCGUCCCCCGGCGCUGGCGCCGAGCGUAGCCAGGUCUCUCCAGCUCCCUGUUCCUGUCUAUUCCUGGCCGCUGCUGCUAUGGCCUCGUGUCUCCCUUUUGUGUCCGCCCAUCGGGGCACUGGAGAUCCCAGAAUCUGCCUCAGCCUGGAGGUGACCUUGUCCUGGGGAGGGGGGUGCAGAGGGGCUGUACUUCGCUCCCAGGGGCUGACGGGAGAACGAGAGCAGGAAUGCUUAAUAAACAACAAAGCCGAGGGGCCCAGGAACGACCCUGGGGCUGGACCCCAGAGUUCCCACUGGCACCCUCCUGCUUGCCUCGGAGAGGAAGAACAGCCUCAACACAGAGAACUCUGGGGCCCAUCAGACAACGAAUGUUAUCAGCAAAUCAGCAAGCAUUUAUUUAUUUAAAAUUUUUCCCACUCAAGAGUAUUUUUUUCCAAUUACAUAUAAACAUAAAAAAUAUAAAAAUUU
rnacentral:lncRNA from 1 species